AUAUACAGCCAUAGCACCCUGAGAAUGCCCCAUCUGGGAAGCUAAGCAGGGUUGGGCCCGGUCAGUCCAUGGAUGGGAGACCAAUGGUACCUGGGGUAGAUU
rnacentral:rRNA from 1 species